GUGCUCCUGUCUGUUAGUACUUUGUCCUAGUGGCAAGCGUUGCAUCUCUGUAUUCCUGUUCUAGAGGAAGUUCAAAGCAUGCUUCACGGUAACACAUAGCAAUUCUCCCCCCCAAAAAAAUCAAGGCAUGUUGCACAAGAAGAAUUUAACAUCUGAAUCAUUUUUCCUCGAGAUCUAUCAGCUGUUUUCUCUCCUUGCCUCGGCUCAGGGACAAACUCAGGAAGGAGAAACGUGAUGGCAUUCAUGCUUAGUUUGCUUGUAAUUCUAUUUAUACAGGGGUUCACUUGUGACGCCUGAUAAGCUGAGUCUGGGGGUACACAUCAGUUACACUAAAGUUUACUGUUUCUUCAGCUGCCCCCAAAGGCCUAUAUUUAUGGACUUUACACUCAUCCAAGUCUUGACCAAGGUUUGUUGAUUUGCUGGAGCCUCUAAAAGUAACUAAAACCCCUGGUUAUUGCCACAUGUACUUCUCUAUUUGAAAACAAGGCAACAAGUAUAACCUAUGUCACACAACAAAACCAAUACAUGCCUGAACACAGGUUUGGUCUUUGUUCCCAGGAUUAGAUUGCUUUUGCCCCUAGAAGAACCUCACAGGGGUCUGGGUCCUUGUAAUGGAUAAAAAAAAAAAAUCAUUUUAUAUUGUUAGAGACAGACAACUAAAUAAGUUUGUUAAGCACAUGCAUGCACAAACACCUUUAGGAUAAUCCUGGAUUCCACCCCCCAUCCUUCACCUUUUAACUAAGGGAUAUUAUGUUACAAUGUCAUCAGGUGGUAUAGCAUUUUUAAAGAGCUUUUUUCAUAUUCCAUUUGGAAAUUUUUCUCUUAGAAAUAACAUACAAAAUUGAUUCCUACAUCUGAUAAUACAGCUGAUGUUUGUUUCUUGGUGUGAAGUCCAGCAAAAUACCUGCAUUACACUAUAAGAGGCACAAUAUUAUCCUGAUAAAUUCCUUUUUUAUCUCGGCCUUCUUAGUGCUGUCACUACUUGAAUAGACUUAGAUUGGACUCUAGAAGCUCCACGAUUUUGUAUUGGCUAACCACUGCAUUAUAUGCUUCUUUGACCACUAAAAUUCAAUGUGUUUAUGAAAUUACUCAACAUUUUGUAGUUGUCUGAUAAAUUUUUCUAUCAAAACAGUAAAGCAACAUAUCAGCUAGUUCAAUAUCAGGAAUACUUUUAUUGCACCACAUAGGGAAUUCAAUAAAAGCAGUGAUGUAUUGUUAAAGUUCUUAUUAGGAACUUCAUGUGAAGAAAAAAAGCUCAUAAUUUCAAUUAGUUUCAAAUGGAUACUCAAUCUCAUAUAGGAAUAACUUAUUUUGGUUUAAAUGGCCUAAAUCAAGAGAGGCUAUGUUGCUUUCUGGGCAAAAAUGACUAUUCACAGUCUUCUAACAUCUGAAUUUAGGCAAGUGCAGCUCUUAUUUAGAGAAACUCCUUGAAUACCAACUCAUACCUGAAUUGAGAAAGUGUCAAUAAGCAUAUAAAGUUAUCCUUUAGUCAAAGGGGUAAGAAUUCAUUCACUGGAUUCACAGUAGCUCAGUAUGACAGUAAGGACACUAUUACAUUUAAAGGUCAGUAAAGCUUAAAUAUCAAGUUUCACGGGUUGUGUAUACGAGGGUGAUUUCCUAGACCAGUCCCGCUUCUAGAAAUGCAGGUUUUGCAGAUGUCUUCAAAGCUGCUUGUUAAGAGAACAGCAUGCUACACAAAAGCUAAUGAUAUAGAGGAAACUUCGGAGUGUCACUUGCCAGGGUAAACAGACAUGCACACCACCCAGCUGAGGCCCGGGCCCCUUGGAAAACUGAAUAGACCAGAUAACAAAGUAUCACUGCUGUUACUUUUACUACAUUGCAACAUGCAGACACUUUAUAACCUAAUGAUGAUUUUUUUUUUUUUUUAACCUUCCUGUAAUAGCUUGUUUCUGUUACUGGGUGAAUGCUAGCGUUAUUUCACUCUUUCCCUGCAUCACUAUAUUAACAUUAGCUUGUUAUUUCACACUGAAUUUAUGUUAUGCCUUAGAUAGUAGGGGAUUUUUUGGGAAGGGACAUAAAAAGCAGCAAUAAGGAUCUUUUAAACAGAAGAGGAACUUCCAUCUUCAACAUAUACAUCCAACAUUGCAAUAUAAAGUAUGAUUGUUUCUUACAUAUUUAUCCUAAAUUACAUCUACUGUAAAAACUCACAAAACGAUGAAGCAAAUAACGGACAAGAAGUUCUCUAUAAGUAACAGUUUAUCCCUUUACUGUUCUUAUCAAAAAGCAAUCUAUAAUUCUCAAAUCCCUUCACUCUCCCUACCCCCACUCAACUAAAGGUAUUUUUAAAACAGAGCUUAAAUGGAGGAUCUGGAGCACCUAAUUUUUUCUCUUAACUGCUGCUAUAGAAAAGUGGCAUUACUUUGCACACCAUAAGAUGAUGAACAAUUCACCUUCUUUCUCUCUCCUUGCAUAAUCUAAAAGCAGAACGAUACAUCUAGAAAGCUUGCCAUCACCUAGCUUAUUUCUUAUCCAAACUAUUAAAGCCCAUGCACACAUGUCGAUAUAGCCACCUUAAUUCUCUUUAACAGAGCUCAAUAACUAAUGAAAUUAACAGGGGAAAAAAAAUGCACCAAAACCGAAAAUGAAAUCUAUAACAAAUAAAAAAGAAACCCCAAAUAACCAAGCAAAAUAAAAAUCAACCAAAAAGCCUUUAAGAAGCAACAAAGCUUCUCUUUAAAAAGGAAAGAAAAUUAUUCACCUAAGAAUUGAUGAAUCUCUGCAUUAGCAAAGGCCAGAAAGGGUCUUUAAGAUCACCUCAUUCCAGACCAUAAAAUCAAAAAGAAAAAAAUAAAAUAAAACAAACCCAAAACCAAUCCAAACUAGUUUAAUUUAGAGAAACAUACAAAAUAUAUUCAUAAAUUCAACUCCUCAUAUAAGAGUUAUAGCUUAUACCAUUAAGCACAACUCAGCACACCCCACUCACCUCCCUUACCCCUAACCAUAUAUCCUUUCUCCUACCAUCCUCUUUUUAUCUGUGAAAGCAGCAUUUUCAAGUGAUACCUAUUAGCACCAUUCACGGCUGCAAGCUUGUAAUCACACAGACAUAUAUGUGUGGAGAAAAAUCAGACAGUGCUCUUGACUUAUUCUGUUCAUGCUGUUCAUAGACCUUAGAUAACCUCCGGACAGCAUAAGAGUAAAUAAGGUUUUGGAGUCACUUUCCUGAGAAGAAAACAUAGUUUUCAUCAUGCAGAUACCUUGCUAAUGAAAUCACUUUAUGCAGAAUGUCAAAAUCAUUAAAGAAAACAUAGAUAAAGAGAACUAAACAGAAAACGAACUGUGAGGUUCAUAUUUGCUCAGAUUCAGAUUGCUUAUUUGUGCAGUAAGCACUGACAGUAUUGCUAUCUACUAACUGCUUUUGAAUUUCAAGUCUGAUGAAUGUUCUUCCUUAAUUGCUGCUGGAAAGUGCUAAGAGUAAUAGUGGUUUUGUUUUAGUGCUAUGCAAUAGUUUGGGAGCUUGGGGAGCUUGCCCUGCUCCUGAAUGCUCAUGUUGAUAGUAACAUGUUGAUAGUAAGAGCAAUGACUUCAUUUUAAAUCGUAGUAGGCCAGUAUAUUCUCUUUCAUGCCUAUAAUUUUUCUGUGCAGUGUCUUCAUGUCUAUGUCAUGUGUGUAAAUAUGAUUAAUCUGUUUCAUGUUGUGCCUAGGACAGAUAUACCCAUUCUCUGAAUGUCUCUGCAAUUGCCUGAAACUGGUUGCAGACAGUCGUGUGCCUGGCAGUUUGAUAGCCAGGAAAACUCUGUCUUCAGUGCACAGCACAUAAACUUGCAGAUGCAGGUUUUAUUGAAGGUGGCAUAAUUCAAUAGUUCUAAUGCUUGUCUUUAAAUAAAUGGCUAGAAGCAUCAAUAAUCAAAUAUUUUCUUUUAGAAUCUUAUCUUUAAAGAGUUGUUAGGAGUAGGAAGCUGGAUUAGAAGAAAACUGCAAUGGUACAUAUAGUAUAAUGAGAGCAAAGUAAUUAACUUUUCCUAUUUGUAUUGAAGGUUUUAACAGACCUAAUAAAAUAGUACACAUUCACCUUUAGAAGAACUUAGAUGUCUCACACUAUCUUUUUUAGUUUACAUGCCAUUUAUUGGUGACUGGCUAGAAUGCCUGGUAUAUAGACUUUUUCAGUGGUCAUUGUUCGCAGAGACAGAUCAAUUUAAAUUAUUCUUGCUUUCAGUGAGAAAACUGAAUGAUAUCCUCUGUAUCUGGUAAUGUCUGAAGAAAGACUUAUUUUUUUAGGAAAUCUGACAGAUAUUUAUGACAUUCAAAUGACAUACAAAAAGAUUAUAAAAGUAACUAUCCAUCAUAAUAUAUUUCCCAGAGACACAGACCUCCAUAUCAAGCACAGUCCUUGUGACUUACUCAUAUCUGCUUUACUUUGUUUUAUUCUAUCUAUUUCUAAGCUAAAUACUGAAGUUGAAUGGAAGACAAACUUGUAAAUAGUAGCAGACAGGCCUUCUCAACUUAUAAAUGGUGCUUUAAUAGCUCUGUAUCAGUACGCUUGCAAAUUGCUAGGGUUAAAUAUAUUUGUUCAUAGCAACAGUAUAAUUUACAGAAACCUGUAUGGACAUAGACAGGUAAGGGAUUUUUUUUUUUUUUUUUUCAGUAUGUAGUGGGAAACUUGUGCCAUGCUAAUGGAAAACAGCCCACUAAUAGGAAGUUCCCAAAUGAGGAGCAUUGCAAGACAGAGAUGAGCACGGUGAAAAGUAUCAUGAUUCUCCAACAAAUCCUGAAGAGUGAGUCUUGAACUGCCAUAACCUAUAAAUCACUUCCUUGUUUCUUCCGUGUCUCAGCAGCUGAGCAGGUCACAGCUGAUAAGACAUUCUAGUCCCUGCAUGAUUCACUCUUCCUCCUGUUUCCUUGAUUAACCCUUGAUCUCUCAAGCAAGGAAAACCAGUGAGCACUGGUCAUUUAUGCAACAUCUCAUCAGUGUUAAUUUUUGCAUAUCUGGUGUACCAUGUGUAGUGUUAUUAAAUAAAGAUUUGUCUGCAAAAGGAAAAUGCACCAAUUUAUUUAAAAUCCAAUUGAAAUCCAAUUUAUACUGUCAUGAGACUUUGUAUAAGCACUAUUUCAAUUUGACAGUGGUAGGUUAACUCCAGUAUAAACUGACUCUAAUCUUUGGAGACUAAUUGAUAUAAAGCAGCAUCCACAUAGUUAUUUGUAUCAAUUAGAAAACAAUUAAAGGUAAACAGGGAAAAAAUCUCUUAGAAUUGGUACCUAUCAGUUUGAAUUUCAUAUUUGACUGAGUCUUGUCAGUAAAAAAAUUGCCAAUGCAUAAAAUCUGACAAAAUAAAUGGAGAUGUGUAGUCUACAGAUAGUUCACUGCCCAGAGGACAAGACCACUCACCACAACUUUAGCCAUAAAAAUAAAAGUUUUAAUAACAGAAAGAGUAAUCUGAGGAUGGAUGUGUCUGAGGAGUUGCGCAGUUAUCAGCAUGGAGAUGAGGUCCUUGGCAAUUCUAUUUGACUUUAUUUCCUCUGUACAGAAAUUGCCAGCAGGUUGUGGAUCAGCAAUCUCAUUAUUGCAAAAUCAUGAAUGUUCCUUCUCUCCUCAUCCGUUGUUAGGGUGGAUAUAUCACAGGUGCAAUGUACCACAAUAUUUCUUUGCAGCACAACAAACCUGGGUGUCAAAAAAGAGAAACAAAGAUGAGCAAAGGUUUCUUGUUAAUUCUCUUAAAUCUAGUCCAAAAAGGUCAUAAUUUAGAACUUUUUAUGCAUCGGUUAUUUUUUUUCCUAGAAAUAUCACUCAAAAAAAAAAAUUAGUCAUUAUCUCUCCCAAAUGCCAAAAUAUCCGUUCUACAGCACUGACUCAAUAUUACAUUCUAGAAACCACAUAAAUUUACCAUUUUAGGGCCUGUGCUUUAUUGGUAGUUUGUAAGAAUUUGUCAUAUUUUAUCCAGGUGAAAAUACUGCAUUAUAUAUACUGUGCAUAUUUUGUUCUUUUACAUGCAACACUGCCUUCAGUAAAGGAAGCAAAUCCUUCUCUACACCUUUCUGCCAUCAUUUUUCCUGGAGCCAUCAAUGUUUAUGUGCUGGCUGAACAUUCACAUCUCUGUUAAUAUUCCUGUUUCCUUGCCUCACACCACUCAGUAAGUAGAUUUCUUUGGGAAUAUCGUAUUCAUGCAGAUGGUGUCUGGUAGAGCAAAGCAUUUGAGGGGCAGGAUGAAACAUGUUUCUUGUCACUGGAGUGAUUAAGGAGCAAGCUACAAAAAAUAAAGGAGAAAGUCGCUGUUACAUAUUUAUUCCCCAUUAAAUUGCCCAUGGCAUUUUAUAUGCUUUUUAAUCAGUUUUAGCCCCUGAUAUAUUCAAUAUCAGGGUUAAAUAACAGACAUCUUGGAAGACUGUCUGACAGCUGGCAUGGCCACAAUCUAUCUUACUUGACCUUACAACCCUUUUCUAUUUUCAGGGUUGACUAUACACUCUAAAAGCAGGCCACUGCAUCAACAAAAGGGCCUACUUAAUGCACCACCCAUCUCUUCAGUCCCUUCCUGGGUUUCUCUGCAGGUCUGUGUGUCCCUAGACACAUCCAUCAGAAGGCCAUUAUGGACAAAGAUCAGACAGACAGCUGCGUGGGAAGUGCCUCAGUGCUUCACCAGCGAGAAGACUGUUGGGACCCGUGUUCUCCAAAGAGCCAUGCAGUGAGUCAUAUCUGCUGAGUAUUCUUAGGAUAUUACAGUAAUGACCAUUACGCUACAGCUAAGAAAAAGAGAAAGAGUAAAUAUAAUGGUGUAAGACUAAAAUGAUAAGGAGUGACAAGGAAUCAACAUGCUUUAGCAGGAUCAUAGCUUAGAGGCUGUGACUAUCUAUGCUUUACAUGUUGCCAGACUCUAAAUCUCACCUGAUUCUUUCAUCUCUCCAACCCCAUGUGUGGUCUCUCACUCUUUCCAGUGUCACAAAUUCCAAAGUUUCCUGGUUGGCAAUCAUAUCUGUAUUUUAGGUUUUCCAUGAUACUUCCUGCCUGAAAAGAGAAGGCAAGUCAAAAUUGCAUUGAGCUGAUGAGAGAGGUAGAGGAAGAAUGCUGGUUCGGGGCCUAAGUAUGACUACUUUACUUCUAAUCUUUAGGUGUCUUCUAUCAAGCAUCUUUUUUCUUCUUUUCUUCAAAUGGUGCUUAACUUAAGCCUAACUGUCUAUAAUUAUACCAGCUGAAGAGCUGGACAAGCUACAUUCCAAAUGAUUUCCAAACAACUUAGUUUCACUGCAGUUUACUUAAAUAGUCAGACCUAUUUUGAGAGCACUGAGUAGUUAUUUCUGCUACUGUAUUUAUGUCAAAAGUUUUUACAGUUCCAAAUAUAAGUUGAGUUUCCUAAGAGACCUAGACUUCAAUAGCAAAAUUUAGGAGAAACCAAAGAUUUUAUUUCCAAGAUGAAGAGCAAAUAACAGAACUAAAUCUCAUAUCUUUUUUCAACUCAAGCAUUUAGUGCUCUGUCAUAGACAAAAUAAAAACCAGAAGUUAUGUCGUACAUAACCAGAUAGCCUAGCUCUCCACUACUUUAUUCUUCAUGCAGUCCUGAAUUAAAACUAAAUUUAAGACUGUUUAUGAAGUGUUCCUUGAUUCAGAUUUUUAGGUGGCAAUGAUUAAACAUACCAAGAUGUUAAUAUGCAGCAUUCACAAUGUCAUCAACUGCAUUUUUGAACCAUAAGAUGGACACAUGAAGCUGCAUCUGCCUACCUUCUGUUCCAGGUGCAGGAAAGAAGUAACUACAGAUUUCUUUAACAAAAAGCUAAGGAGACAAAUAUUUCCAGAUUUGGCAGUUGAAAAGAAGAGACAAUAAAUUUUCUAGUUAUGAGAAUCCACCCAACAAAGUUGCUGCAUUUUGGAUAACUGACAGAUUCUU
rnacentral:lncRNA from 1 species